UACGGAGGGGGCUAGCGUUGUUCGGAAUUACUGGGCGUAAAGCGCGCGUAGGCGGACCUGCAAGUCGGGGGUGAAAGCCCGAGGCUCAACCUCGGAACUGCCUUCGAUACUGCGGGUCUCGAGUCCGGGAGAGGUGAGUGGAAUUCCUAGUGUAGAGGUGAAAUUCGUAGAUAUUAGGAAGAACACCAGUGGCGAAGGCGGCUCACUGGCCUGAUACUGACGCUGAGGCGCGAAAGCGUGGGGAGCAAACAGG
rnacentral:rRNA from 1 species